AGCUGGUUCAAGACGAGAAGUCUGUGGAUUUUGAUUACCCUGGUGGAGAUCAUGAUUUUUACGAGGGAGAUAAGGAUGACCAACAGAUGGAUGCCAAUCAUCUUGACUAUAACAGUGACAAUGAAGACAAGCAGGGAAGUAGAAGGGAUGAGGAUGGCGAAGAGCCUGCUGAAAGUUUGUCAGAGGAUGAAUGGCAGCCAGAAGCCAAACGAAUGAAAAUUGAAAAAUGAAAACCGGAAAAAAUGCAUCAUCUACAAUACUAAUACUUCAGAUUUAAAAUUCUCGUUCCUGUAUUCCAUACCUGCCAUUUUUCUUUCUACUUCUUCGCACAAGUUUCCAGGCUUG